rnacentral:rRNA from 1 species
GACGAACGCUGGCGGCGUGCCUAAUACAUGCAAGUUGAGCGCUGAGGGUUGGUACUUGUACCAACUGGAUGAGCAGCGAACGGGUGAGUAACGCGUGGGGAAUCUGCCUUUGAGCGGGGGACAACAUUUGGAAACGAAUGCUAAUACCGCAUAAAAACUUUAAACACAAGUUUUAAGUUUGAAAGAUGCAAUUGCAUCACUCAAAGAUGAUCCCGCGUUGUAUUAGCUAGUUGGUGAGGUAAAGGCUCACCAAGGCGAUGAUACAUAGCCGACCUGAGAGGGUGAUCGGCCACAUUGGGACUGAGACACGGCCCAAACUCCUACGGGAGGCAGCAGUAGGGAAUCUUCGGCAAUGGACGAAAGUCUGACCGAGCAACGCGCGUGAGUGAAGAAGGUUUUCGGAUCGUAAAACUCUGUUGGUAGAGAAGAACGUUGGUGAGAGUGGAAAGCUCAUCAAGUGACGGUAACUACCCAGAAAGGGACGGCUAACUACGUG